rnacentral:rRNA from 1 species
UCCGUAGGCGGUGCGGCAAGUCGGAAGUGAAAUCUCUGGGCUUAACCCAGAGGCUGCUUCCGAAACUGCCGUGCUAGAGUGCGAGAGAGGCGAGUGGAAUUGCGGGUGUAGCGGUGAAAUGCGUAGAUAUCCGCAGGAACAUCCGAGGCGAAAGCGGCUCGCUGGAUCGCAACUGACGCUGAGGGACGAAAGCUAGGGGAGCAAACAGGAUUAGAUACCCUGGUAGUCCUAGCCCUAAACCAUCAGGACUUGGGGUUUGCCCUGUACGGGGCAAGUCCCGUAGCUAACGCGUUAAGUCCUGCGCCUGGGGAGUACGGUCGCAAGGCUGAA